AUUGAACGCUGGCGGCAGGCCUAACACAUGCAAGUCGAGCGGAUGAAGGGAGCUUGCUCCUGGAUUCAGCGGCGGACGGGUGAGUAAUGCCUAGGAAUCUGCCUGGUAGUGGGGUAUAACGUCCGGAAACGGGCGCUAAUACCGCAUACGUCCUGAGGGAGAAAGUGGGGGAUCUUCGGACCUCACGCUAUCAGAUGAGCCUAGGUCGGAUUAGCUGGUUGGUGGGUUAAAGGCCUACCAAGGCGACGAUCCGUAACUGGUCUGAGAGGAUGAUCAGUCACACUGGAACUGAGACACGGUCCAGAGUCCUACGGGAGGCAGCAGUGGGGAAUAUUGGACAAUGGGCGAAAGCCUGAUCCAGCCAGGCCGCGUGUGUGAAGAAGGUCUUCGGAUUGUAAAGCACUUUAAGUUGGGAGGAAGGGCGGUAAGUUAAUACCUUGCUGUUUUGACGUUACCAACAGAAUAAGCACCGGCUAACUUCGUG
rnacentral:rRNA from 1 species